GACGAACGCUGGCGGCGUGCUUAACACAUGCAAGUCGAACGGAAAGGCCCAGCUUGCUGGGUGCUCGAGUGGCGAACGGGUGAGUAACACGUGGGUGAUCUGCCCCUAACUUCGGGUGAAGCUUGGGAAACUGGGUCUAAUACCGGAUAGAACAAUCGUUGAGUGGCGGUUGUGGAAAGUGUUUGCGGGUAGGGAUGAGCCCGCUGGCUAUCAGCUUGUUGGUGGGGUAAUGUUCUACCAAGGCGGCGUCGGGUAGCCGGCCUGAGAGGGUGGACGGCCACAUUGGGACUGAGAUAGGGCCCAGACUCCUACGGGAGGCAGUAGUGGGGAAUAUUGCACAAUGGGCGCAAGCGUGAUGCAGCGACGCCGCGUGGGGGAUGACGGCCUUCGGGUUGUAAACCUCUUUCGACAGGGACGAAGCUUUGGUGACGGUACCUGUAUAAGAAGCACCGGCUAACUACGUG
rnacentral:rRNA from 1 species